CCUACGGGCGGCAGCAGUGGGGAAUAUUGCGCAAUGGGCGAAAGCCUGACGCAGCGACGCCGCGUGAGGGAUGAAGGUCUUCGGAUCGUAAACCUCUGUCAGCAGGGAAGAACGGUCACUGUGCUAAUCAGCAGUGAAUUGACGGUACCUGCAAAGGAAGCACCGGCUAACUCCGUGCCAGCAGCCGCGGUAAUACGGAGGGUGCGAGCGUUAAUCGGAAUUACUGGGCGUAAAGCGCUCGUAGGCGGUAUGUCAAGUCAAGGGUGAAAUCCCCGCGCUCAACGUGGGAACUGCCUUUGAAACUGGCAGACUGGAGUGUGUGAGAGGAUAGUGGAAUUCCAGGUGUAGGGGUGAAAUCCGUAGAUAUCAGGAGGAACAUCAGUGGCGAAGGCGACUAUCUGGCACAUAACUGACGCUGAGGAGCGAAAGCGUGGGUAGCAAACAGGAUUAGAUACCCGGGUAGUC
rnacentral:rRNA from 1 species